rnacentral:tRNA from 1 species
GUGGGCGUAGUUCAAUUGGUUAGAGCGCUGGACUGUGGCUCCAGAGGUUGAGGGUUCAAGUCCCUCCGUCCACCCCA